GUACUAGCUUGGGCAGCACAUAUACUAAAAUUGGAAUGGUAAGGAGAAGAUUAGCACGGCCCCUGUGCAAGGAUGACACACAAAUUCGUGAAGUAUGCUGUAUUUAA
ensembl:snRNA U6 U6 spliceosomal RNA